AGUAUUUCUGACGGUAGAAGACCA
rnacentral:siRNA from 1 species